AUUGAAUGAGUUUGAUCAUGGCUCAGAUUGAACGCUGGCGGCAGGCCUAACACAUGCAAGUCGAGCGGAAACGAGUUAUCUGAACCUUCGGGGAACGGAUAACGGCGUCGAGCGGCGGACGGGUGAGUAAUGCCUAGGAAAUUGCCCUGAUGUGGGGGAUAACCAUUGGAAACGAUGGCUAAUACCGCAUGAUGCCUACGGGCCAAAGAGGGGGACCUUCGGGCCUCUCGCGUCAGGAUAUGCCUAGGUGGGAUUAGCUAGUUGGUGAGGUAAGGGCUCACCAAGGCGACGAUCCCUAGCUGGUCUGAGAGGAUGAUCAGCCACACUGGAACUGAGACACGGUCCAGACUCCUACGGGAGGCAGCAGUGGGGAAUAUUGCACAAUGGGCGCAAGCCUGAUGCAGCCAUGCCGCGUGUAUGAAGAAGGCCUUCGGGUUGUAAAGCACUUUCAGUCGUGAGGAAGGUAGUGUAGUUAAUAGCUGCAUUAUUUGACGUUAGCGACAGAAGAAGCACCGGCUAACUCCGUGCCAGCAGCCGCGGUAAUACGGAGGGUGCGAGCGUUAAUCGGAAUUACUGGGCGUAAAGCGCAUGCAGGUGGUUUGUUAAGUCAGAUGUGAAAGCCCGGGGCUCAACCUCGGAAUAGCAUUUGAAACUGGCAGACUAGAGUACUGUAGAGGGGGGUAGAAUUUCAGGUGUAGCGGUGAAAUGCGUAGAGAUCUGAAGGAAUACCGGUGGCGAAGGCGGCCUCCCUGGACAGAUACUGACACUCAGAUGCGAAAGCGUGGGGAGCAAACAGGAUUAGAUACCCUGGUAGUCCACGCCGUAAACGAUGUCUACUUGGAGGUUGUGGCCUUGAGCCGUGGCUUUCGGAGCUAACGCGUUAAGUAGACCGCCUGGGGAGUACGGUCGCAAGAUUAAAACUCAAAUGAAUUGACGGGGGNCCGCACAAGCGGUGGAGCAUGUGGUUUAAUUCGAUGCAACGCGAAGAACCUUACCUACUCUUGACAUCCAGAGAACUUUCCAGAGAUGGAUUGGUGCCUUCGGGAACUCUGAGACAGGUGCUGCAUGGCUGUCGUCAGCUCGUGUUGUGAAAUGUUGGGUUAAGUCCCGCAACGAGCGCAACCCUUAUCCUUGUUUGCCAGCGAGUAAUGUCGGGAACUCCAGGGAGACUGCCGGUGAUAAACCGGAGGAAGGUGGGGACGACGUCAAGUCAUCAUGGCCCUUACGAGUAGGGCUACACACGUGCUACAAUGGCGCAUACAGAGGGCAGCCAACUUGCGAAAGUGAGCGAAUCCCAAAAAGUGCGUCGUAGUCCGGAUUGGAGUCUGCAACUCGACUCCAUGAAGUCGGAAUCGCUAGUAAUCGUGGAUCAGAAUGCCACGGUGAAUACGUUCCCGGGCCUUGUACACACCGCCCGUCACACCAUGGGAGUGGGCUGCNAAAGAAGUAGGUAGUUUCAACUACGGGGGGACGC
rnacentral:rRNA from 1 species